rnacentral:lncRNA from 12 species
GCCAAGGUCUUAAGCCCCAUUGUAGUGACACACCCUCUGGAAUGUGGCUUCCCAUUCUGGAUCUUAGGAGAUCACUCAGUCCAGGCUCUUGCAUUAAAGCAGGAUAGGUGUAGCUGGGCUGGGCUGAGGCCAUGGAUGGCAGAUAGAUCACAAAAAUCCAGCAGGAUUAAUGAAAAGAGAGAAUGCCUGCUAAAGCAGCAGGUGGUGCUUCCACAACCAACUCUCCCAUCCUGGCCCUGCACACACGGAUGUUCAGAAGCAGUCUCUGCUGAUAAGCUUCCAGUGGAAAUCUGUACUGAUGCUCUGAAGAGAGAUAACCGGACUCCUAACAUCAAGGAAUGAAUUCUGUAUGGAAAAACCUUUCAUAAAAAAGCUUUAGCUGAGGUGGAAGCCAGUUUAUUAUAAUGUCUCUGUGCUGUCAGAGUUUCAGCAGGUCCCUGAGGUCCUCCUGCAACUUGUUAAAUGGGCAUAUUUCAGAAGCAUUGGAGUGGAAAGCUGAGGGACUGGGAAAUCUGUUUUCAAAAACUGCUUUGCAAUCAAGAGAGGCAGUGGUCCUGGAGAAACAAAAAUCUUGAGUACGUGG